rnacentral:tRNA from 1 species
UCUGAUGUGGCAGAAAUUGUAUAAGAUUUAGGUUCUUACCAUGAAAUAAAAUAAUUCCUUCAGAA